GCCAUUAUUAAAAAGAAGCUUGCCACUCACCUCGUCUGCGGGUCGUUCUUGCGGGCCGAGAGCGACAACUGGUGCCGAAACCCGGGAUCCCUACCUUUAGACGCAGAACGAGGAUCGAGAAUUGUCUGCUAUCAGAAUGUUGAAAUGCCACGGUGGGAGACUCGGCAGUAAUAGCCAAGAUACCGACGUAUAUCCCGAUGCCAGUACAGGUGAACCUCGACAACCUGCCGGUGCUACUUCGACAUAAACGAGACUUUGGAAUAACAGCAGCCAUUAUUGCAGCUAUUGCAGCAUCCGUCGCCGCUGCUACUGCUGCUGCAGUGGCAUUGACAACCUCGAUACAGACUGCAGCAACACUCAACAAUGUCACCGGGAGGGUAGCUGAAGCCCUUGCAACACAAAAUCAGAUUAAUGGACUGUUAGGUGUAUACAAAACCCACGCGGACAUUGUCCUUGUUUUCUCACUUCCCUUCCCUGACGCACGCAUGGUAUGUUGUAGGAACAAUUAUAGGAGUGCUAGUAGUAAUUGUUCUUUUCAUGUGCCUCUUGCCUUGUGCGGUUAAAAUUAUACUCGCAGAAGUUUAUAAGUUAAGAGCCAUCAUACGUAACCAUCAGCUAAUCAACCGCGGUGGGCUCAGAAUGUCACCUUGAACGCUACCCAGGUAUCUCUUGGCUCCGUCAGCGAUUUGGUUAGUAUGUUAUAACAAUCAGCCUCAUUCCUCAAAAACUGGGCAGGCAUAGGAGCCCUGAUUAUGUUGAUGAUUCUGGCUCAAGUGCUCCUUCUACAAUGCAUCGCGCGACAACAACGGCUACAGCAACGGGCUUUGGUCUAAGCCAUGAUGGCUCUGGAGGCUGGCACCUUCCCCCCCAAAUAUGGCUUAGCAUGCUGGAUCGGUAGCCAAAGACGGGUAAGACUGAUCCCUCACCAUAGCAACCUAAGACAGGGGCUCCUCGGCCAGGGGGAGUACCCGAUGACGGGUAAGCAUGUGUGCUGAGGAUUGGCAACCUAAGACAGGCACGAUCCCUGCCAUAUAAACAAUAAAAAAGGGG